rnacentral:lncRNA from 1 species
UGGAGCUCGAGGCUGCCUCAAACGCAACUAAUAUUCAGUAAAGAUAAAUUGCCAAAGCUUCAGCUUCUAGGAAAGUUGUCAGUCAGGAUUGAGCCUGUCCAAGAACACAAGCAAUGCAGAGAAAAGCAGAGAUGAGUGACCAAGAUAAGGGAAAGAGAGACAUGAUGACAUCAUUCAGCCUCUGGAUCUAGCCAUGGGUAAGGGGCUGAAACA